UCAACUGAAGAGUUUGAUCCUGGCUCAGAUUGAACGCUGGCGGCAUGGCUAAAGCAUGCAAGUCGAACGAGAACCGGCUUCGGCCGGGGACAGUGGCGGAAGGGCGAGGAAUACGAUCGAACGUGCCCCGAGGUGGGGGAUAGCCGCGGGAAACUGCGGGUAAUACCCCAUGUGCUCUUCGGAGGAAAGGUUUACCGCCUUGGGAGCGGCGAUCGUCCUAUCAGGUAGUUGGCGGGGUAACGGCCCACCAAGCCGAAGACGGGUAGCGGGUGUGAGAGCACGACCCGCCGCAUCGGGACUGAGACACUGCCCGGACUCCUACGGGAGGCUGCAGCGACGAAUCUUCCGCAAUGGGCGCAAGCCUGACGGAGCAAUGCCGCGUGCGGGAUGAAGCGGCUUCGCCGUGUAAACCGCUGUCAGGUCCCAGGAACACUGACCGGGACCAGAGGAAGGGCCGGCUAACCUCGUGCCAGCAGCCGCGGUAAUACGAGGGGCCCGAGCGUUAAUCGGAAUCACUGGGCUUAAAGGGUGCGCAGGCUGGCCCGAAAGCGUCUUGUGAAAGCCCCCGGCUCAACCGGGGAACAGCGGGGCGAACUUCGGGUCUUGAGGCAGGUAGGGGCGGAUGGAACUGUCGGUGGAGCGGUGGAAUGCGUAGAUAUCGACAGGAACGCCGAUGGCGAAGGCAGUCCGCUGGGCCUGUCCUGACGCUCAGGCACGAAAGCGUGGGGAGCAAACAGGAUUAGAUACCCUGGUAGUCCACGCCGUAAACGAUGCACUACGGUCGCAAGGCUAAAACUCAAAGGAAUUGACGGGGGCUCACACAAGCGGUGGAGCAUGUUGCUUAAUUCGAGGCAACGCGAAGAACCUUACCUGGGCUUGACAUGCACGGAUUAACUCCCUGAAAGGGGAGCCACGCCCGCAAGGGUGGAACGUGCACAGGUGUUGCAUGGCUGUCGUCAGCUCGUGCUGUGAAGUGUCGGGUUAAGUCCCUUAACGAGCGCAACCCCUGUCGCUAGUUGCUAACGGGUAAUGCCGAGGACUCUAGCGAGACUGCCGGUGUCAAACCGGAGGAAGGUGGGGAUGACGUCAAGUCCUCAUGGCCCUUAUGUCCAGGGAUGCUAACGUGCUACAAUGGCGCGUACAGAGCGAAGCGAGGCCGCGAGGCGGAGCAAAUCGCAAAAAGCGCGCCCCAGUUCGGAUUGCAGGCUGCAACUCGCCUGCAUGAAGCCGGAAUCGCUAGUAAUCGGAGAUCAGCUACGCUCCGGUGAAUACGUUCCUGAGCCUUGUACACACCGCCCGUCACGUCAUGGAAGCCGGGAGCGCCCGAAGUCGCCGCAUCUCAGCGGCGCCCACGGCAAGCUCGGUGACUGGGACGAAGUCGUAACAAGGUAGCCGUAGGAGAACCUGCGGCUGGAUCACCUCCUUUCUAAGG
rnacentral:rRNA from 1 species